CCAAUAGCGUAUAUUAAAGUUGUUGCAGUUAAAAAGCUCGUAGUUGAAUUUCGGGGUCUGUCCGUCGGUCGGGCUUCACGGUCCGUACUGGUGUGAUGGGUUCCUACCUUCUGAAUCACCGGCAUGCCACUCAGUUGGUGCGCCGGGGAAGCAGAGCUAUUACCUUGUAAAAAUUAGAGUGCUUAAAGCAGGCUAGUGCUUGAAUAGAUUAGCAUGGAAUAAUAAAAUAGGACGGCAUGGUUCUAUUUUGUUGGUUUCUAGGAUCACCGUAAUGCUGAAUAGGGAUAGUUGGGGGCAUUAGUAUUCAAUUGUCAGAGGUGAAAUUCUUGGAUUUAUUUAAGACUAACUUCUGCGAAAGCAUUUGCCAAGGAUGUUUUCAUUAAUCAAGAACGAAAGUUAGGGGAUCGAAGACGAUCAGAUACCGUCGUAGUCUUAACCAUAAACUAUGCCGACUAGGGAUCGGACGAUGUUAAUUUUUUAAUGACUCGUUCGGCGCCUUACG
rnacentral:rRNA from 1 species